CAAAAGGCUCUUUUCAGAGCCACCACAACACCCGAGAGCCCAUUC
rfam:Tetraodon nigroviridis chromosome undetermined SCAF14565, whole genome shotgun sequence.